CGGUAGUUUUAGGAUACAAUUAGCGCGUAUACCACCACUCCAUUGGCUUAUAUGGUAGCUUGCCAGCUAGAUGCUAUACACACCCUCAACUCUUCAACGAUGGAGGCAGCAUCUAAGAAGUCCCACAAAUGGGCCAGCUCUACACUACAAGAGACGAGAGCUGAACGUAAACUACAACCUCGUUCCUCCGAACCCGUUUCCCAAAAUCAACGGUCAUCUGAACAAGCUGCACCUGCACCAUAUAUUUUUCAUUCUUCAUCCAAUCAUUUGAUGUAAAUAACAAAAUUGUACUCAUUUCUUUUUUUCUAUAUAUAAAAUUAAAUGCAUUGUACGGUGUGUAAAAAAAAA
ensembl:lncRNA